GUAGAGGCUGGUAGAUUACCCGGUUGAGAAGCAGCGAUUGGAGGAUGAUCUCUUGGUACUGGUAGGUUAGUUCCAGCUGGUACGGUGGUUGGUGCUGGCAAAUUGCCGAAUGGAAGAUUUCCUGGUAUAUUGCUUGUAAAUGGACGAGUAACACCAGGAAAAAAGGGAAAAGGAAAAGUAGUGGCGGGAAAUGAACCAAAGUUGGGAGGGGUUUGGGCUGUAGCUCCUGCUCCUCCCACAGUAGUCGGUUGGUACAUGGUGUCUUCUGCCGUCUUUGUCUUGGUGUUGAUGGAGUGGUGGUGGUGGAAGUGUUGGUGGUGGUGCUGAUGGUUGAUUUUCCUAGCUUGAAGGUUCAUGGCAAAGAGUGCAAUGAAGAGGGUGAUGAGAAGCAAAAU
rnacentral:lncRNA from 1 species